AGUGGAAGAGGUUGGUUAUAUGGUACGUUUUAUUUUCUAAGAAAUUGUCAGUCUAUUUUCCAAAGUGAUUAUUUCAUUUUAUAUUUCCACCAGCAAU
rnacentral:pre_miRNA from 1 species